UACGUAGGGUGCAAGCGUUAAUCGGAAUUACUGGGCGUAAAGCGUGCGCAGGCGGCUUUGCAAGACAGAUGUGAAAUCCCCGGGCUCAACCUGGGAACUGCAUUUGUGACUGCAAGGCUAGAGUACGGCAGAGGGGGAUGGAAUUCCGCGUGUAGCAGUGAAAUGCGUAGAUAUGCGGAGGAACACCAAUGGCGAAGGCAAUCCCCUGGGCCUGUACUGACGCUGAUGCACGAAAGCGUGGGGAGCAAACAGG
rnacentral:rRNA from 1 species